rnacentral:rRNA from 1 species
UAACGCGUGGGAACCGUGCCCUAUACAGGGGGAGUAACAGCUGGAAACGGUUGCUAAUACCGCAUAAGCGCACAGAAUCGCAUGAUUCAGUGUGAAAAGCCCUGGCAGUAUAGGAUGGUCCCGCGUCUGAUUAGCUGGUUGGUGAGGUAACGGCUCACCAAGGCGACGAUCAGUAGCCGGCUUGAGAGAGUGAACGGCCACAUUGGGACUGAGACACGGCCCAA